rnacentral:rRNA from 1 species
AUUGAACGCUGGCGGCAUGCUUUACACAUGCAAGUCGAACGGCAGCGCGGGCUUCGGCCUGGCGGCGAGUGGCGAACGGGUGAGUAAUGCAUCGGAACGUGCCCAGUAGUGGGGGAUAGCCCGGCGAAAGCCGGAUUAAUACCGCAUACGACCUGAGGGUGAAAGCGGGGGACCGAAAGGCCUCGCGCUAUUGGAGCGGCCGAUGUCGGAUUAGCUAGUUGGUGGGGUAAAGGCUUACCUAGGCGACGAUCCGUAGCUGGUCUGAGAGGACGACCAGCCACACUGGGACUGAGACACGGCCCAGACUCCUACGGGAGGCAGCAGUGGGGAAUUUUGGACAAUGGGGGCAACCCUGAUCCAGCCAUGCCGCGUGCGGGAAGAAGGCCUUCGGGUUGUAAACCGCUUUUGUUCGGGAAGAAAUCCUCUGGGCUAAUACCCCGGGGGGAUGACGGUACCGGAAGAAUAAGCACCGGCUAACUACGUG